CCUACGGGAGGCAGCAGUAGGGAAUAUUGCGCAAUGGGGGAAACCCUGAUGCAGCAACGCAGCGUGAACGAUGAAGCCCUUCGGGGUGUAAAGCUCUGUCAGUGGGGAAGAAACCUGACGGUACCCACAGAGGAAGCACCGGCUAAAUACGUGACAGCAGCCGCGGUAAUACGGGGGGUGCAAGCGUUGUCCGGAAUUAUUGGGCGUAAGGAGUGCGUAGGUGGUACGUUAAGUCUGUUGUGAAAGGCUGAGGCUCAACUGCAGAAUGGCACUGGAUACUGGCGAGCUUGAUUGCAGUAGAGGUAGGCGGAAUUCCUGGUGUAGCGGUGAAAUGCGUAGAUAUCAGGAGGAACACCGGUGGCGUAAGCGCUUUACUGGGCUGUAACUGACACUGAGGCACGAAAGCGGGGGUAGCAAACAGGAUUAGAUACCCUUGUAGUC
rnacentral:rRNA from 1 species